GCCGAAGUGGCGGAAUUGGCAGACGCGCUAGGUUCAGGACCUAGUGGGAGGUAACUCCCGUGGAGGUUCAAGUCCUCUCUUCGGCACCA
rnacentral:tRNA from 1 species